GGGAUUUGAUCUAACUAACGUAUUUUCCUUUUAUGACCAGGGCUGAUCGUAAAGAAGCUCUUCUUUACGAUCCUGAAAUUGAACGCACUACCAAGACCUUACAAGCAUGGCUAUGGUAAGUAUGUCUUUUCUCUCUUCUCAAAUUUCUGAACUAACCUCUCUUGUGGAUAGUUAUGUCAAAGGUCGAGCUCAACACUUUCA
rnacentral:lncRNA from 1 species